GACAGAGGGUGCAAACGUUGUUCGGAAUUACUGGGCGUAAAGCGCGUGUAGGCGGCCAAGCAAGUCGGAUGUGAAAGCCCUCGGCUCAACCGAGGAAGUGCACCCGAAACUGCUGAGCUUGAGUGCCGGAGAGGAUGGCGGAAUUCCCCAAGUAGAGGUGAAAUUCGUAGAUAUGGGGAGGAACACCGGUGGCGAAGGCGGCCAUCUGGACGGUAACUGACGCUGAGACGCGAAAGCGUGGGUAGCAAACGAGG
rnacentral:rRNA from 1 species